GAUGAACGCUGGCGGCGUGCCUAAUACAUGCAAGUCGAACGAAACUUCUUUAUCACCGAGUGCUUGCACUCACCGAUAAAGAGUUGAGUGGCGAACGGGUGAGUAACACGUGGGCAACCUGCCCAAAAGAGGGGGAUAACACUUGCAAACAGGUGCUAAUACCGCAUAACCAUAGUUACCGCAUGGUAACUAUGUAAAAGGUGGCUAUACUACCGCUUUUGGAUGGGCCCGCGGCGCAUUAGCUAGUUGGUAGGGUAAAGGCUUACCAAGGCAAUGAUGCGUAGCCGAAUUGAGAGGUUGAUCGGCCACAUUGGGACUGAGACACGGCCCAAACUCCUACGGGAGGCAGCAGUAGGGAAUCUUCCACAAUGGGCGAAAGCCUGAUGGAGCAACGCCGCGUGGGUGAAGAAGGUCUUCGGAUCGUAAAACCCUGUUGUUAGAGAAGAAAGUGCGUGAGAGUAACUGUUCACGUUUCGACGGUAUCUAACCAGAAAGCCACGGCUAACUACGUG
rnacentral:rRNA from 1 species